CUUCUCUCUAUCCAGCCGCAAAAAGAAGAAGAAGAAGAAGAGAUAGGAGCCGCAUAUGGUGGUGAAGAAAAAUAUACAGGUGCACAAAUGCUCCUAUCAUUAAACUUGAAGAAGUUUAUGCUGUGACUGAGAAACUGUGCCGAUUUGAUAAAGAUGGAAUUAAAUAGAAAGAAAGAGAUACUAAAAGCUGAACAAGCUCCUCUUGAUCUCUGUAUUAUUAUUGCGAGGGAAUACUUCAAACAAGGAAAAAUCGAACAAUUCAAGGAUAUAUUGGGGGAAGGGUCUUCGCCAGAGAUUGAUGAGUACUAUGCUGAUAUGAAAGCGGAGCGCAUUGCUAUAUUGAAUGCACUGGGAGCAUAUUUUAGUUACCAAGGAAAAAUUGAGACUAAGCAAAGAGAAAAAGAUGAGUAAUUAUUUUUGGAAACACAGUAUUAUAAUAGAGCUUUGAGGAUUGACAUACACGAGCCUUCAACUUGGGUUGGUAAAGCUUUUACUGGCCAAGGGUGAAACAGAACAAGCAUCUUCAACGUUUAAGAUUGUGCUGGAAAGAAAUCCUAAGAAUGUGCCUGUCCUUCUUGGUCAGGCAUGUGUUCAGUUCAGCUUUAACCAUUACACAGAGUCUUUGGACUUAUAUAAGAUGGGGAUACGUUGGAGUCUGAUCUUGAUUCCAGCUGUGAAUUGAUGAAUUCAGAUACUUGGAUUGCAGCUGGCUUUGACGAGAAUCAUUUGGGAACUUAAUACUCAAGAAAUGGGGAGAAGGAUUCCAUGUAACAUCAGUGGCAACUGGUGGAAGCCAAUAGGGUGAAGUCAUGUCUUUCAAUGCGGGCUUCAGUGACCAAAUAGUACGAAGGGGGGUCAUUCAGCAGCCCACAUCAAAUGUGUACAGUUAAGCUGGAUCCGCAAAUGGAGGAAAUAGUCGGUGUUAAACUGCUUCGGCUCAGAAUUGUAGCUGCAAUUAGGUAUACAAUUUCCUAGUUACAGAUUAUGUUAACAUUGUAUCUAUUUACUGCUGCCAUGUAGAACAUUGUGUGUCUAAUUUUAUCAUCUUUAUCAUGUCAGUAAGUAAGUUGUGAAACUUGUAAACAUUUCUAUUUUUUACUGUGAUACUUUUAAGUCAACCAUCCAUUAAUGAAUCAUUUUUUUUUCAAUUCA